UCCUCUGAAUGCUCGACAAGAUGGGAGUGGCCACCAUUCACCGCAGCACAUUCUUCCGUCACCUUGAGUCAGCAGUCCUCAAGAUAUGGGAUGUCAAGCAGAGUGGCGCCAUCAAAAACCCUCCAGGAAGUGGGUGGAGAUCUGGUCUUGGCAGCAGAUCGAAGGAGUGAUAGUCCCAGGCACUCUGCAAGGUUUGGGACGUUCCCUGCUGUCGAACAGAGAAUCAACACGAUUUGGAACAUAGAAAUUGUUCAGAGCAAUGAAGUGAAGAGCGGCACAUGGAGUGAGCUGGAGGGGUUGAAGAGGAAUAAGCAGUUCGUUGACAGAUCUUCGCUUGUGGUUGAAACCCUCAUCACUCAACAUUUAUUUUCUUUGUAUUAUCUUUUACCAGAUCUAAUGUGUUGUAUUCACCUACAUUAAUUUUACAUUUCCACAAACUUCAAAGUGUUUCCUUUCAAAUGGUAUCAAGAAUAUCCUUGCUUCAGGUCCUGAGCUACAGGCAGUUAGAUUUGAGUAUGUCAUUUUAGAUGAAAAUUGAAAAUUGAAGGGUUGGAGCCAUAAGAGUUUUUUUUUUUUUUACCUGCAUCCUCCCCUUCAUCUACACUGAUUGAAGUAGAUUUUACAAGUUACAUCAAUAAUGUAUGAUAGCUUUCAACUGGAUUCACCUAGUCAGUCUGUCUAGCGCAGGUGCUCUUAAUGUUUUGUACACUGUGUAUGUUUUAAUAACCGCUAAUGAAAAAGUAAAAACAUGUUUGAAUUAUUUUUAUGGUGACAUGAAUCCCAUGUAGGGCAUGUUCUCCUCAUUUGGGAACCUAUUUCUUAUCCCAUUGACUUCACACGCUGGAAUUGGCACAUGGUUGUACUGCCCCAGAUAUCUCCACUUCCAGCUGUGGAACUGUCUGUAGGCAAUUGUAUCUGAACUUUCUAAAAAGACAGGGGAAAUGUUUUUACUAUUGGCAGGGGGAGUGCUGUAACAUAAUUAGAUUUUAUUAUUAUAUUCGAUUUGUAAGGAUUCUAUUCGUAGAUUAACUAGCUCGUGUUGACUAUGAACUUUAUUGGCAUUCUGGGCAUAUAGUUUUUUGGGGUAUCUGUACUUUACUUGAGUAUUUAUAUUUUUGACAACUUUUAUGCCACUAUUUUAUGCCAUUAUGAACUUUUUUCCCUGACACCCAAAAGUACUUGAUACAUUUCAAAUCCUCAGGAGGGACAGCAAAAUGGUCCAAUACAGGCACCUAUCAAUGUAAAUGAUUGUUAUCCCUACUGCCUCUGAUCUGGCAGACUCACUUAACACAAAUACUGCGUUUGGAAAUCAUGUCUGAGUGUGGGAGUGUGCCCUUCUCUGUCCCUUAAUAAAAAAUGUUUUACAUUUUCUUUAUGUAUAGCAUAAACUUUAACUUUUUGUAUUAUUAAAGUAUGAUCAUUUAG